GCGUCUGUAGCUCAGCUGGAUAGAGCACGAGUCUUCGAAAUUCGGUGUCGUUGGUUCAAGUCCAAUCAGGCGCACCA
rnacentral:tRNA from 1 species